rnacentral:rRNA from 1 species
UACGUAGGGGGCGAGCGUUGUCCGGAUUUAUUGGGCGUAAAGGGCACGCAGGCGGUCCAUUAAGUUCAGGGUGACAGUCAUCAGCUUAACUGAUGAAGUGCCUUGAAAACUGGUGGACUUGAGAGCGAGAGAGGGACACGGAACUCCGGGUGGAGCAGUGAAAUGCGUAGAGAUCCGGAAGAACACCAAAGGCGAAGGCAGUGUCCUGGCUCGUUUCUGACGCUCAGGUGCGAAAGCGAGGGGAGCGAACGGG